AGCGAACGCUGGCGGCAGGCCUAAUACAUGCAAGUCGAACGGAUCCUUCGGGAUUAGUGGCGGACGGGUGAGUAACACGUGGGAACGUGCCCUUUGGUUCGGAACAACUCAGGGAAACUUGAGCUAAUACCGGAUAAGCCCUUCGGGGGAAAGAUUUAUCGCCAUUGGAGCGGCCCGCGUCUGAUUAGCUAGUUGGUGGGGUAAAGGCCUACCAAGGCGACGAUCAGUAGCUGGUCUGAGAGGAUGAUCAGCCACACUGGGACUGAGACACGGCCCAGACUCCUACGGGAGGCAGCAGUAGGGAAUCUUGCGCAAUGGGCGAAAGCCUGACGCAGCCAUGCCGCGUGAAUGAUGAAGGUCUUAGGAUUGUAAAAUUCUUUCAGCGGGGACGAUAAUGACGGUACCG
rnacentral:rRNA from 1 species